rnacentral:rRNA from 1 species
UACGGAGGGGGCAAGCGUUAUUCGGAAUUAUUGGGCGUAAAGGGCGCGUAGGCGGCUAGAUGUGUCAAAGGUGAAAUCCCUCGGCUCAACUGAGGAACUGCCUUUGAAACUGUCUGGCUUGAGGCCGGGAGAGGGUAGCGGAAUUCCCAGUGUAGCGGUGAAAUGCGUAGAGAUCGGGAAGAACAUCGGUGGCGAAAGCGCUCUACUGGACGGUGACUGACACUCAGGGACGAAAGCUAGGGGAGCGAAUGGG